UCUAGGUAGGUGACCGCCGCCGGCGCGCUAUAAGUGAUCAUUUGUUGAGGUGCUGAUGCGUGAAGAAGGAUCGGUCAGUCAGGGGCUUAAUGUUGCUCUGAUGUGUUGUGUGGCAGGUAUUGUUGGAUUCUACAAGGACUUUGUCGAAGCCCUCUACAAAGACCUCGGUGGACAGGCAUCUGUUACUGGUAAGCUUGCUUGAUUGAAGCGUAUUUUUGUCGAUGUAUUGUCGUUGCUGCUUGCUGAUGAACAUUGUGCCUUGUGCAUUGUUCAGCGAUAGGGCAUAUUUCACAUGGGCAGAAGGUAAUGCACAUAUUUCUUCAGGUUGAUUCAUAUCGUCAUAUUGAAAUCGACAAGGGAUGGUUACAUCAAUCAUAUAUAUUUAUGGAAGACAGUUCACUGAUAACUAGCUCGGAUCAUACCUCCAGAACGGUAUGGCCUGAUUCCUCUCUCUCGCCUAGCUCGGAUCUUUUCCUUGUCUUCUUUGAGUUGGAUUCCCGAUUCCCGAUCCCGUCCAUGCGAAUUGCGAUCUCGAUUGGCCAAUUAGAGAUUUAGUUAGGGAUAAUAAGACUGCACCGUGCUCAGCUCUUCCUUCUCGAGUUGGGAUCUCAGGAGGGAAGCUCUUAACCUAGACCUGCUCUCUGGGAAUCGUUGGGAACAGGUUUGAUGAGCAACCAAACGGGCAGUGUUAAUCUACGCAGUGCUGGUAAGUUCGUUAUAAUUCCCACAACCCACAUGUCAUCGCAAAUCUGUAGCAUCAGCCUGACCCCCCUGGACUAUAAUCCUCAUUCCUCCACUCCCACCUUACGUUUUCAGCUAUGUGUCAUGUGUUCCAAAUGGCGGGCAAAAAGUUAACAUGAAGCAUACUACUUGGUACUGUAUGAAAUAAGAGCGGAUUUCUUUUAGAUACAACCUGAAGUUUUAGUUAAGAGGCCAAACUGAAAAUAUAAAGCACUAUAUAUACGAACUAUGUGGCCAUUAUAGCUACAUUAUAUCAGGGUUGAUGACAAAAAAAUUCAGGGUUGGAUAUUCUGGAACUAUGUUUUCAUCAACUAUCUAGCACUAUAAGGACUAUGUGAAUUUUCAAUUUUGCCAUAUUCUGGAAGAUUCUAGCUAUAAUGUGCUAAAUAACGCAUGAUAAAUAAAACAUUAUACAAUGGAAAGCCACAUAAUCCAGAAAUGCAAACUAUGUGGCCAUGCAAGAUUCUGUUUGUCUUGAAUUAUGUGGAUAGGAUAAUAUAUGUAGGUCCGGUCUCUCUUCUGUCUCUCUUCUGCUUCCACAUAAACCUCCGUGUGGUUCGAUUGCAGCCUGUAGGUCCGGUCUCUCUUCUGUCCAGAGUUGAUUAGCACAUAGUACAGGGUAGCUAGUAUGGAUAGGAUAUAUAUGUAGCUGCAGAUCAGAGAGGAGCUUCUUCAUUUACCUUGUACAGUAGUACUAGGUAGUUGGUCUGAUUGCUAGCUAGUUGGUCUGAUUGCUAGCUAGCUGGACUGGAUUAUAUUAUGUACUCCCUCUGUAAACUAAUACUCCCUCCGUUCCUAAAUAUAAGUCUUUUAAGAUAUUUCACUAGGAGUCUACAUACGGAGCAAAAUGAGUGAAUCCAUACUUUUAAGUAUGUCUAUAUACAUCCGUAUGUAGUCCACUAAUGAAACCUCUUUAAAGACUUAUAUUUAGGAACGGAGGGAGUAUAAGAGUGUUUAGAUUACUAAAAUAAUGUUCUAAAUUCUCUUAUAUUAGUUUACGGAGGAAGUACGUAGCUUAAUUAGCUUGUGCAGUUAAUUUGUUGCACGCAUACAUGCAUGCAUGCAUCAUGUUUGUUGGUGGAGAACUGAAAUCGCAUUGCAUAAUAUGCAUCGUUAAUUGACUUUGAUAGUUAAUUUGUUGCUACUCCGUGGUAGAAUAGUUCGCACUGCGCAGUGUAGGAUUCUGCUAGAGGCGAGAUGAUUGACUCCGCAUACACAUGCAUUUGUUAUGCGCACACAACUUCCUCUCACAAAAAAAACUAAGUGCAUGUCUCUCUCACUUUUGUUCGCAUUUCUUUUACCAUCAUCUUUAGGAUGAACACAAAUCUUUUUAUUUCUAAUAUUUUUUAUAUUUAUUUCCUUUUGAUUGAUUCAUGUGCAGUGUAAUGUUUUCGUAGGAUGACAAGUUGUCGCAUCUCGAGCAUGUCUCAUAGGAGAGUGGAAUGAAGUUCAUUGUACUGUUGGGAUAGUAGCAAACGUGCCAUUGUUCUAUUGUGCAAUUCUGUCCGUUCUCGCUAUAUUCCUGUAUAAAGAAAUGUAUUCAUGAGAUAAGUUAUUGUGUUAUAUAAACCUGAGAGAUGUAUUACGUGAUGUUAUAUGAUGGAUGAUUUUAAUUUGACUUGGAGUUUUUUUAAUUUGAAUAUGAAAUAGUGUUGGAUUUAAUAUUGGACAAAUAAUUGGGUUGAAAAGGCUCAACAAAUAGAAAUAAAACCAAGUUCUGAAACAAAAAGUUGUUGAAUUCAAAAAUGAAAAAAGGCCAAAACUGAAACUGGACCAAAUAUAUUUGGGCACUAAAAGGCUAGGAUCCAAAAAAAUAUUCGAAAAAGAAAACAAAAAGUGGCUAUAAAUGGGCUAAGGCUAAAAAAGAAGUCCAAUAAGAAAAAGCCCCCCAAAAAAAUAAAACCAGCCCAUGUGAUCAAUUGAAAUGGGUUGGGCUGAUUUUAACCAUGAAGUUUUGAUUUCGUCGCAAUUUUGCCAUGUAGGACUGCCACGUAGGACUGGGUUAGAUUGCCAACGACGAUUUAGGAUCGUCAUAAAGGUUACGAUGAUUCAGG
rnacentral:lncRNA from 1 species